rnacentral:rRNA from 1 species
UACGGGGGGGGCAAGCGUUGUUCGGAAUUACUGGGCGUAAAGGGCGCGUAGGCGGCCUUCUAAGUCGAACGUGAAAUCCCCGGGCUCAACCCGGGAACUGCGUCCGAUACGGGGAGGCUUGAAUCCGGGAGAGGGAUGUGGAAUUCCAGGUGUAGCGGUGAAAUGCGUAGAUAUCUGGAGGAACACCGGUGGCGAAGGCGGCAUCCUGGACCGGUAUUGACGCUGAGGCGCGAAAGCCAGGGGAGCAAACGGG